GAUGAACGCUAGCUACAGGCUUAACACAUGCAAGUCGAGGGGAAACGAUAUUGGAAGCUUGCUUCCGAUAGGCGUCGACCGGCGCACGGGUGAGUAACGCGUAUCCAACCUGCCCACCACUUGGGGAUAACCUUGCGAAAGUAAGACUAAUACCCAAUGAUAUCUCUAGAAGACAUCUGAAAGAGAUUAAAGAUUUAUCGGUGAUGGAUGGGGAUGCGUCUGAUUAGCUUGUUGGCGGGGUAACGGCCCACCAAGGCGACGAUCAGUAGGGGUUCUGAGAGAAAGGUCCCCCACAUUGGAACUGAGACACGGUCCAAACUCCUACGGGAGGCAGCAGUGUGGAAUAUUGGUCAAUGGACGAGAGUCUGAACCAGCCAAGUAGCGUGCAGGAUGACGGCCCUAUGGGUUGUAAACUGCUUUUAUAAGGGAAUAAAGUGAGCCUCGUGAGGCUUUUUGCAUGUACCUUAUGAAUAAGGACCGGCUAAUUCCGUGCCAGCAGCCGCGGUAA
rnacentral:rRNA from 1 species